GAAACAGGUUAAUAUUCCUGUACUCGUGCAUAUUGCGAUGGAGAGACGGAGAAGGCUAGGCCAGCACAGCGAUGGUUGUCUGUGUUUAAGGCGGUAGGUUUAGGGCUUAGGCAAAUCCGGGCCCUUUUAAGACCGAGAACUGAUGACGAGCCCUCUUUUGGGCGAAGUGGUUGAUGCCAUGCUUCCAGGAAAAACUUCUAAGCUUCAGAUAUGCAGGAACCGUACCCCAAACCGACACAGGUGGGCGAGGAGAGUAUC
rnacentral:rRNA from 1 species